UACGGGGGGGGCAAGCGUUGUUCGGAAUUACUGGGCGUAAAGGGCUCGUAGGCGGCCAACUAAGUCAGACGUGAAAUCCCCAGGCUCAACCUGGGAACUGCGUCUGAUACUGGAUGGCUUGAAUCCGGGAGAGGGAUGCAGAAUUCCAGGUGUAGCGGUGAAAUGCGUAGAUAUCUGGAGGAACACCGGUGGCGAAGGCGGCUUUCUGGACACUAACUGACGCUGAGGCGCGAAAGCGUGGGGAGCGAACAGG
rnacentral:rRNA from 1 species